CAGGUGAUUUACGAGCGGAGUUUACGUAGAUGCAUUCUAUCCCUAGUAGCAGGUGAAACCAUUGCAGACCACGUACUCGUUACGCUCGUCAGCAUCGAAAUUUAUGCAGCUGUGAGAAACGCCAAUACCACAACCAGUAUAGUAAUCCGUCAGUACACAAUACAAUUGAGGAUGGAAUUGUUGUGACAAUUGGUUUUUUCUAUCAAAGUCAGAUUGUGAAAAUAUGAGGUACAUACAAAAAUGGAAAUAUAUCAAAAAAUGGUAGGUCCAGUGGUUGAGUGACAGAAUAUAUAGAUUGUGG